AUUGAACGCUGGCGGCAUGCCUUACACAUGCAAGUCGAACGGCAGCACGGGUGCUUGCCCCUGGUGGCGAGUGGCGAACGGGUGAGUAAUACAUCGGAACAUGUCCUGUAGUGGGGGAUAGCCCGGCGAAAGCCGGAUUAAUACCGCAUACGAUCUACGGAUGAAAGCGGGGGACCUUCGGGCCUCGCGCUAUAGGGUUGGCCGAUGGCUGAUUAGCUAGUUGGUGGGGUAAAGGCCUACCAAGGGGACGAUCAGUAGCUGGUCUGAGAGGACGACCAGCCACACUGGGACUGAGACACGGCCCAGACUCCUACGGGAGGCAGCAGUGGGGAAUUUUGGACAAUGGGCGAAAGCCUGAUCCAGCAAUGCCGCGUGUGUGAAGAAGGCCUUCGGGUUGUAAAGCACUUUUGUCCGGAAAGAAAUCCUUGGCUCUAAUACAGUCGGGGGAUGACGGUACCGGAAGAAUAAGCACCGGCUAACUACGUG
rnacentral:rRNA from 1 species